GUGCUUGCUUCGGGAUCACAUUUGCUAAAAUUGGAAUGAUACAGAGAUUAGCAUGGCCCUUGCGCAAGGAUGCCACGCAAAUUCGUGAAGCGUUCCAUAUUUAA
ensembl:snRNA U6 U6 spliceosomal RNA